AAUGCUACACAGUUAACAUGGUUC
rnacentral:siRNA from 1 species